rnacentral:rRNA from 1 species
AUUGAACGCUGGCGGCAGGCCUAACACAUGCAAGUCGAGCGGCAGCGGAAAGUAGCUUGCUACUUUGCCGGCGAGCGGCGGACGGGUGAGUAAUGUCUGGGAAACUGCCUGAUGGAGGGGGAUAACUACUGGAAACGGUAGCUAAUACCGCAUAAUGUCGCAAGACCAAAGAGGGGGACCUUCGUGCCUCUUGCCAUCAGAUGUGCCCAGAUGGGAUUAGCUAGUUGGUGGGGUAACGGCUCACCUAGGCGACGAUCCCUAGCUGGUCUGAGAGGAUGACCAGCCACACUGGAACUGAGACACGGUCCAGACUCCUACGGGAGGCAGCAGUGGGGAAUAUUGCACAAUGGGCGCAAGCCUGAUGCAGCCAUGCCGCGUGUAUGAAGAAGGCCUUCGGGUUGUAAAGUACUUUCAGCGGGGAGGAAGGUGUUGAGGUUAAUAACCUCAGCAAUUGACGUUACCCGCAGAAGAAGCACCGGCUAACUCCGUGCCAGCCGCCGCCGUAA